rnacentral:rRNA from 1 species
UACGGAGGGAGCUAGCGUUGUUCGGAUAUACUGGGCGUAAAGCGCACGUAGGCGGCGCCGUAAGUCAGGGGUGAAAUCCCGGAGCUCAACUCCGGAACUGCCUUUGAAACUAGAUAGCUUGAAUCCAGGAGAGGUGAGUGGAAUUCCGAGUGUAGAGGUGAAAUUCGUAGAUAUUCGGAAGAACACCAGUGGCGAAGGCGGCUCACUGGACUGGUAUUGACGCUGAGGUGCGAAAGCGUGGGGAGCAAACAGG